AAACUAACAAGGAUUCCCCUAGUAACGGCGAGUGAACCGGGAAGAGCUCAAAUUUGAAAUCUGGCGUGCUCAGUGCGUCCGAGUUGUAAUCUAUAGAGUCGUUUUCCGUGCCGGACUGUGUCCAAGUCCCUUGGAACAGGGUAUCAAAGAGGGUGAUAAUCCCGUACUUGACACAAUGACCGGUGCUCUGUGAUACGUCUUCUACGAGUCGAGUUGUUUGGGAAUGCAGCUCAAAAUGGGUGGUGAGUUCCAUCUAAAGCUAAAUAUUGGCGAGAGACCGAUAGCGAACAAGUACCGUGAGGGAAAGAUGAAAAGCACUUUGGAAAGAGAGUUAAACAGUACGUGAAAUUGUUAAAAGGGAAACGAUUGAAGUCAGUCGUGACUGAGAGGCUCAGCCGGUUCUGCCGGUGUAUUCCCCUCAGUCGGGUCAACAUCAGUUUUGUUCGGUGGAUAAGGGCAGUUGGAAGGUGGCACCCUCGGGUGUGUUAUAGCCAGCUGUCGCAUACAUCGGAUGAGACUGAGGAAUGCAGCUCGCCUUUAUGGCCGGG
rnacentral:rRNA from 1 species